CGCGGCAGGCGUCUAGGCUGUGGCGCAUGACUGGGGUGAAGUCGUAACAAGGUAACUGUACCGGAAGGUGCGGUUGGAUCACCUCCUUU
rnacentral:rRNA from 1 species